CUGGCCGUAAACGAUGGAUACUAGGUGUAAGUGGUAUCGACCCCACUUGUGCCGUAGCUAACGCAUUAAGUAUCCCGCCUGGGGAGUACGGCCGCAAGGUUGAAACUCAAAGGAAUUGACGGGGGCCCGCACAAGCGGUGGAGCAUGUGGUUUAAUUCGUUACUAACCGAAGAACCUUACCCAGACUUGACAUCCCCGGACAGCCUGUGAAAGCAGGUCUUCUCCCCCAUAAGGGGAGACCGGGUGACAGGUGU
rnacentral:rRNA from 1 species